UGAGGAAUAUUGGUCAAUGGGCGGGGAGCCUGAACCAGCCAAGCCGCGUGAGGGAAUAAGGCCCUAUGGGUCGUAAACCUCUUUUGUCGGGGAACAAAAGCGGGGACGUGUCCCCGUCUGCGUGUACCCGAAGAAAAAGCAUCGGCUAACUCCGUGCC
rnacentral:rRNA from 1 species